rnacentral:rRNA from 1 species
GGCCCCGCACAAGCGGCGGAGCAUGCGGCUUAAUUCGAUGCAACCCGAAGAACCUUACCUGGGUUUGACAUCAUGGGUCUAGCUGUGGAAACACAGUGUGCUUACGCGCCCAUGACAGGUGGUGCAUGGCUGUCGUCAGCUCGUGUCGUGAGAUGUUGGGUUAAGUCCCGCAACGAGCGCAACCCUUGUCCUAUGUUGCCAGCACGUAAUGGUGGGGACUCAUGGGAGACUGCCGGGGACAACUCGGAGGAAGGCGAGGACGAUGUCAAGUCAUCAUGCCCCUUAUAUCCAGGGCUGCACCGCAUGCUACAAUGGGCGAUACAAUGGGCUGCGAUCCCGCGAGGGUUAGCCAA